GACGAACGCUGGCGGCGUGCUUAACACAUGCCAGUCGAACGGAAAGGCCCUGCUUGCAGGGUGCUCGAGUGGCGAACGGGUGAGUAACACGUGGGUGAUCUGCCCCUUACUUUGGGAUAAGCCUGGGAAACUGGGUCUAAUACUGGAUAGGACCAUGCUGUAGGUGGUGUGGUGGAAAGAUUAGUUUCGGUAAGGGAUGAGCUCGCGGCCUAUCAGCUUGUUGGUGGGGUAAUGGCCUACCAAGGCGUCGACGGGUAGCCGGCCUGAGAGGGUGGACGGCCACAUUGGGACUGAGAUACGGCCCAGACUCCUACGGGAGGCAGCAGUGGGGAAUAUUGCACAAUGGGCGCAAGCCUGAUGCAGCGACGCCGCGUGGGGGAUGACGGCCUUCGGGUUGUAAACUCCUUUCAGCCAUGACGAAGCCCUUGUGAUGACGGUAGUGGUAGAAGAAGCACCGGCUAACUACGUG
rnacentral:rRNA from 1 species